CAGCGCUCAUUCUAGAGGUUAUAUCAUAGAUGGUGUAACAUUACCUUCUGCCCACUGGGAUCUUAUCAACCCUCUGUUCCUGGUCUAUUUUGAGACCCAUCUGAGCCUGCUACCUGGGACAUGGGUAGUGUUAACAAAUCAACGUCCUGCUGACAAGAGGUGAACGGAGUCUCAUCUGGAAAGAACAGGGCAAGAGAUCAGUAGGCAGUUGGAUUUAUGCUUCAGAGCAUUGCUUCUUUGCAUGAAACUUAGAGGUGCCUUGUUAAACACUUAGAGAGCUCAUCCAAGGCACCGACCGGGUCCUCAUUCAACAGUGACGCCAUCUGCUUGCAGGCUUGCCGUGAUAAUCCAAGAGUAAAGUCCCUUCGAAAAGCACCCCGAGGAAGAAAGAAUUGUCAACAGUAAGCAGAAAGUUGAGGGCAGAAUGAAUCCUGUAAAGAGAGCCUUCUGAGGCCCUCUGACCAGUGUCUGGGGUUCUCACGAGAAGAGCACAUUUUAAGCUUCUAUUACUGUAAAAGGUUGCAGCAGACCUCUGUGUCUCGGGUAUUUCCAGUCUGGCGGUGCAUACAGAUUGUGAAAGUUUUCCCUGGUGUUGGAUAUUAAAGCGAAUUCAGGCCUCCCGAGGGGAUUGGUUCACAAACUCCCUGCAGAUAAUCAAAGCCUCAGUCGCUCAUAUUCUAUAAAAUUGCAAUGUAUCUGCAUAGAAUAUAUUAUAAACAUGUGUAUACAGAUCAUCUUUAGAUUACUUAUAACAAAAAUUAUUACAUGUUCAAAAUAUAAAUUUUAAAAUAUUCUUUCUCCCCGUCCCCAUUGACUCUCUCUCAGCAUGUUUACAUGUUUUUAUCAUGUAUAUGAGUAUUUUCUGCAUAUGUGUAUGUCCACCAUGUCCAUGCCUGGUACCUGGAGAGGUCAGAAGAGGACACCAGAUAUCCAGGAACUGGACUUAGAGCUGGUUGUGAGCUACCAUGUGGGUGCUGGGAACUGAAUCUGGGUCCUAUGCAAGAGCUGCAAGUGUUCUUAACUGCGGAGCUAUCUCUCCAGCCCCUAAUGUACAUUCUAUUAGUGGAAUCCAUGGAUGUGGAGAGUGAAUGGAAUGUAAGUAUAAAGACACAGCAAAGAAGGGAGGCCCAACAGUCCUGACACAUACGAAUGGUACCCGACAUCAUUUCACCCUUUAUGUCAUUGUUGUAGGGCAGAUGUUGACCGUCUCCCAAAGCUCCAUGUGUUGAAAGGGUUCUAGCUCAUGGGGCUUUUGGAAGGCAGUGGGACCUUCUUUCUCUUCUUUAGAUGGGGUCUCACAGGAAGGAGUUAGGUCAUUGCGGGCAUGCCUUUGAGUGGGUAUUGAGAGCCAGUAUUAGAUACCUUUCUCAGUGCUGUGAACAUAACAAACAAAAUAUCUUACCAAAGCCACGGAAGGAAGGAAAUGUUGAUUUCAGGGUCACGGUGUGAGGAUGAAGUCCACCCCUAUAGAGAGGGCAUGGCAAUGAAAGCCACUAGUCCUGUGACCACAGGACUGAGAGAUGGUGGUCACACUGAGUACCAGGCAGGGAGCACAGAGCAAGGAACGCUGCUGCUUAGCUCAUUUGCCCUUUAUCUUCAGUCUGGGACCUCAUUCCAUGGGAUGGUGCCACCACAUUCAAGGCAGAUCUUCCCUCCUUAGCUGAUCUCAUCUGGAGGUAUAUCUCCUAGGUGAUUCCAAAUCUACUCAACUUGACAAUGAAGACUAGUUACCACCGACUCUACCUUCUUUCUCUAUCACCCCUCUCUUUGCUUUUCCACGAUAAAUAGACCUCAUCUACUGUCUCCUGCUGUGAUAUGCUGUCUCACCACAGGCCCAAACCAAUAUGGACACACACAUGUACUGAAGCCUUAAGCCCAAAGCAAAACCUUUUCUCAAUUUAAAUUAAUUCUCUUGGGCAUUUUGUCACAGUGAUGGAAAGCACAGCAAUACACUAUGUUAUAAACAAACAAAAGCAUGGUGUUACAUGAAAUGAAGCUACACAGAAAGGGAGGGGGGAGGAGAAGAGUGGAGAGGAGAGGAAGGGAAUGGUAGGCAGAGGAGCUGCCUUUACCAAACUUUCGAGCUUCCUGUCCGGAAAUGGUUCAAUUGUAUCCACUCCCUCCGUAGACAAGAUAACAACUGAACUUUCAGUUUUUAUUUAUUCUCUUUGUGUGGUUUUAUUUUUCUUUGUUUGUUUGUUUGUUUUUCCAGGCAGUGUUUUUCUAUCUAACAGCCCUGUAUAUAGACUGAGGUGGCCUCCAGCUCACAGAGAUCUGCUUGGCUCUGCAUCCCAAGAGUGCUGGGAUUAAAAGAAAGGCAUAUGCCACCACACCGGGUUUAGUAUUUGUUAAUUCAAAAGAUACGUAAGCAUACUGUGGGGAUGUGUCUGUAUAAUCCCAGCACUUGAGCAGUGGAGACAGGAGGAUCGAAGUCCAUGCUCAUCUUCAGCUCCAUGGAGAGUUCUAGGUUAGCCUGAGCUACAUGAGACCCUAUGUGAUGGCUAAUAUUGAGUGUCAAAUUUGACAGAAUCUGGACUCCCCUAGGAGGCAAGCAUGUAGGCAUCCCUGUAAGAAAUUAUCUAGAUUAGGUUAAUGAAGGUGGAAAGACCAUUUUGUCUAUGGGUUGUCAUUAAGACAAUUUUAAAUCCAUCUUUUCUUUCCCAGCCCAGCCCCCAAUUUUGGAAUGAUGAGUCCGAGACUAAUUAUUUAUUAUUAAGUGCCUAGGCGAUGAGCUUUGGCUCAUUCCAUAACUAGCUCGUAACUAUAUAAACUAUACUAUAUCUACCAUUUAAUUAGUGACCUCUUCUUCAGUCCUGGCCUGCUGCUCCCUUCUCGUCUCUCUCAGCAUCUCUCUCAGCAUCUCUCUACCUGCUGGCUUAUGUCCAUCUCCUUCAUCUGUCUCUGUGUUGUUUCCUCCAUCUGUGUGUUAUCCAGUCUUUGUGUGAUCGAUCAAUUGGGCUACCAUUUCGAAGUCAAUUUGCAUGCAUAUUUUGGAGAAAUCCAUAACAGAGACAGUCUGUGAGAGUGAAUCAAUCACGCAGGGUAUUUUCUUUGUGAAGACAUUCACGUCUCAGUUGAUAGUGGUCACGAAUGCCAGUAGGAUUUGAUGAAGGAGGCAGAGGCAGGAGGAUCAUGAGUUCAAGGCUAGCCUGGGCUACAUGUUUGUGAGCCGGGUGAUGAUGGCACACACCUUUAAUCCCAGCACUUGGGAGGCAGAGGCAGGCAGAUUUCUGAGUUCGAGGCCAGCCUGGUCUACAAAGUGAGUUCCAGGACAACCUGGGCUAUACAGAGAAACCCUGUCUCGAAAAACAAAACAAAACAAGUCUUCCUUGGUCAGAUCUAAUCUUUAUAAGCUUAGUUGGUAGCUGUAUUCUUUCAUUCCCUGUAGAUGCAUAAGCAUAGCCACGUUCCCAUCUUAAUAUUAUUGCAGGUUUUCAUUCUAAUGUCAACACUUCCUUAUAGUGUAUUGGUUCGUCCAGUUCCUCAGUUUUUUUUUUGGUAACCCAGUGUCUCUCAGCUGCUGUUGUUCCUUCUUCACCAACAUUAAGAAAAUUGAGAGUUAACAAAGCAUUAUUUAGUCUGCCCUUGAGUUAUUUUUUUUAACUCUUCCUUUUUUUUUUUUUUAAAUAAGCAUCUCUUUUAAGGUACGGUUGGUUCAGUCAGAAUGGCUAAGAUCAAAAGUUCAGGUGACAGCAGAUGCUGGAGAGAAUGUGGAGAAAGAGCAACACUCCUCCAUUGUUGGCGGGAUUGCAAGCUGGUACAACCACUCUGGAAAUCAGUCUGGUGGUUCCUCAGAAAAUUGGACAUAAUACUACCGGAGGAUCCCGCAAUACCUCUUCUGGGCAUAUAUCCAGAAGAUGCCCCAACUGGUAAGAAGCACACAUGCUCCACUAUGUUCAUAGCAGCCUUGUUUAUAAUAGCCAGAAGCUGGAAAGAACCCAGA
rnacentral:lncRNA from 1 species